UACGUAGGGUGCGAGCGUUGUCCGGAAUUAUUGGGCGUAAAGGGCUCGUAGGCGGUUUGUCGCGUCGGGAGUGAAAACUCAGGGCUUAACCCUGAGCCUGCUUCCGAUACGGGCAGACUAGAGGUAUGCAGGGGAGAACGGAAUUCCUGGUGUAGCGGUGAAAUGCGCAGAUAUCAGGAGGAACACCGAUGGCGAAGGCAGGUCUCUGGGCCACUACUGACGCUGAGACGCGAAAGCGUGGGGAGCAAACAGG
rnacentral:rRNA from 1 species